ensembl:snoRNA Gm25604 small nucleolar RNA SNORA17
CCUGCCCCCAGAGACACCAGCACUGUAGGCAGAGCUACUGUCUCACAUGUGCGUCAGUAGGUGGCAGGGGAGGGGCUGUCUUUGCUCCGAGUUCUGACCCAUGACUAUCUCUGAAUGAUUAGUACCUAACAUU